AGUGAACGCUGGCGGUAGGCCUAACACAUGCGAGUCGAACGGCAGCACAGGAGAGCUUGCUCUCUAGGUGGCGAGUGGCGGACGGGUGAGGAAUACAUCGGAAUCUGCCCAGUCGUGGGGGAUAACGUAGGGAAACUUACGCUAAUACCGCAUACGACCUUCGGGUGAAAGAGGGGGAUCGCAAGACCUCUCGCGAUUGGAUGAGCCGAUGUCGGAUUAGCUAGUUAGCGGGGUAAUGGCCCACCAAGGCGACGAUCCGUAGCUGGUCUGAGAGGAUGAUCAGCCACACUGGAACUGCGACACGGUCCAGACUCCUACGGGAGGCAGCAGUGGGGAAUAUUGGACAAUGGGCGCAAGCCUGAUCCAGCCAUACCGCGUGGGUGAAGAAGGCCUUCGGGUUGUAAAGCCCUUUUGUUGGGAAAGAAAUCUUUCAGGCUAAUACCCUGGGAGGAUGACGGUACCCAAAGAAUAAGCACCGGCUAACUUCGUG
rnacentral:rRNA from 1 species